rnacentral:rRNA from 1 species
UGAGGAAUAUUGCACAAUGGGCGCAAGCCUGAUGCAGCAACGCCGCGUGCGGGACGAAGGCCUUCGGGUCGUAAACCGCUUUUCUGGGGAAAGAGCAAGGACGGUACCUCAGGAAUAAGUCUCGGCUAACUACGUGCCAGCAGCCGCGGUAAAACGUAGGAGGCGAGCGUUAUCCGGAUUUACUGGGCGUAAAGCGCACGCAGGCGGCUCUGUGAGUCGGACGUGAAAGCUCCCGGCUUAACCGGGAGAGGCCGUUCGAUACUGCGGGGCUUGAGGUAGGGAGAGGAAUGCGGAAUUCCCGGUGUAGUGGUGGAAUGCGUAGAUAUCGGGAGGAACACCUGUGGCGAAAGCGGCAUUCUGGCCCUCACCUGACGCUGAGGUGCGAAAGCGUGGGUAGCAAACAG